rnacentral:rRNA from 1 species
ACUCAAAUGAAUUGACGGGGGCCCGCACAAGCAGUGGAGUAUGUGGUUUAAUUCGAAGCAACGCGAAGAACCUUACCAGGGCUUGACAUCCAACUAACGAAGCAGAGAUGCAUAAGGUGCCCUUCGGGGAAAGUUGAGACAGGUGGUGCAUGGUUGUCGUCAGCUCGUGUCGUGAGAUGUUGGGUUAAGUCCCGCAACGAGCGCAACCCUUACGGUUAGUUGCUACGCAAGAGCACUCUAGCCGGACUGCCGUUGACAAAACGGAGGAAGGUGGGGACGACGUCAAAUCAUCAUGCCCCUUAUGUCCUGGGCUACACACGUACUACAAUGGCGGACAUACAACGGGUAGCGACCGUGCGAACGGAAGCCAAUCCUAAAAAGCCGCCUCAGUUCGGAUUGCAGGCUGAAACCCGCCUGCAUGAAGUCGGAAUUGCUAGUAAUCGCGGAUCAGCAUGCCGCGGUGAAUACGUUCCCGGGCCUUGUACACACCGCCCGU